UGCUAUGAUUCACAAGGACCCAGGUACACAGCAGGGUAACGUACCCCGGAAUUUUUACCAAUUCGAUAACUGAAGCCAUGCAAAUCCUGAAACUUCACUUGAAACUCCUCUAGGGCAGGAAGUGCAAUUUGAUUAUUCAAUUUAUUGCUAAAAAUUGGUCUGAGCUAAAGUUGGUAUUAAUGGAAAACAAGGUCGACUAAAUUUUCUGAUUGAAGACUGCAACUCCAAGGUGCUAACUUGGUUCUUAUUGUAUGUGGGCAUGAUCACUUUCUGGAUGACCUAUGGCUAAACAAUCUGUGGCCUGAGCUCAGGAGGUUUGUUGAAGCCAUUGACUUGAAUGUAUCAGAUGCUGUAAGCUCCCUCACAAGCACACUCCAUGUAUUGUAAUCCUUGUAAAGAUAGCUGUCGAGUGGGCCAAAUCACGAUCCACCAACUAGGGAAGA